AGAUUUGACUUUUUCGGCCACCGCGCGUGGCGGUGGUCCGGCGACCGGCUGUCGAGACUUCGGCAAGAUUUCAAGAGAUAGAAUGCUCUCCUUUUCGCGCGGAUCAUGGACAUAACAUCUGAUUUUCAAUCGAUGUUUAUAGGUUCCGAAAGGUGGAGACAAAUGCUGGAAGUGUGCAGUAAUAAAGAUAGUCCUUUGAAGGACAGUAAAGAACCAUAAUAGAAAGAAAGGAAAGCCCUAUGGAGUUGAGACACUUAUUGUAGAAGACUGUUAAUGGUAAAAAUAAUGAUGUAAAUAUAAAGGUAGAGUUCCGCAAUUGUAUUCCAGUUGGAUUGUAAAUAAAUAGUAAAAGUCUAUAUUAAAUAUA